UACGUAGGGUGCAAGCGUUGUCCGGAAUUAUUGGGCGUAAAGAGCUCGUAGGCGGUCUGUCGCGUCGGAUGUGAAAACCCAGGGCUCAACCCUGGGCCUGCAUUCGAUACGGGCGGACUAGAGUUCGGUAGGGGAGACUGGAAUUCCUGGUGUAGCGGUGAAAUGCGCAGAUAUCAGGAGGAACACCGGUGGCGAAGGCGGGUCUCUGGGCCGAUACUGACGCUGAGGAGCGAAAGCGUGGGGAGCAAACAGG
rnacentral:rRNA from 1 species